AUUUUAUCCAUGAAAGUGUUUCCUCUAAACCUAUGUGGAGGAACACCUGAUGUCCAGGAAAAU
rfam:Sus scrofa cytosolic glutathione peroxidase (GPX1) mRNA, complete cds.